UCGAAAUGUGGAUGGUUCGGUUUCUUCGGCCCAAUUGGCCAGCCCUAAUGCUUAGCCCAAGGAUUGAGCAAGCCCAAGUCAUCAUCACUGGGUGUCAGAUUUUAUUGGCAUGCUUUUGGGGAUGAUUUGUUUUGAGUGAUGCAUCUCUAUUGUUGUGUAGAAUAGUGCAUGCUUAAGUUUUACUAUAGAGAUUUACCGUGAUGCUAAUUGAGUAGCGAAACGCUUUGUGAGAAUGUUUACUGUGCUUGUAUGCCAGUACAGGAUGAUGAUCUAUGUGAAGAUCUAUGUGAUGAUCUAUGAGAUGAUCUAUGUGAAGAUCUAUGUGAGGAUCCAUGUGGUGAUUUUGUGUGAGUUUACUUUUGUGAUGAAAGAAUUUGUGGCCUUAGGAAUGUAUUUUUAUACAAAGGGCUGUGGCUUUGUAGAUUACUACAGCUUUGGAAAGGAUGGAGAUUCGAUGGUUAGGUUAACCGUAAUCGAGAGCAAUUAACUUGCGCUUAAAUUUCGGGACGAAAUUUCUUUAAGGAGGGUGGAUUGUAAUACCCGAAAAAUUCAAGUUAAUUUCCGAUGACGUUUUGGAAAUGAUUUCGUGGUCGUGGACACGAGUACGAAGCUUAGAGGAGUGUGGAAUUAGUUCGAACGAUUUUAUUUUGAAAACUGAACGUUUUAGGGGGGUCAAAGGAGUUGACUUUUUAUACAUUGGGAAAUUGGGAAAACUUCCUUCAUGAAAGUUGUAGAGCGCGUCGAUACGAGUUCGUGGACAUAUGGAACGUAAUAUUCGGAGUUCGUAUGAAUAAGUUACGAAUAUUUGAAAAUUGGGAUUUUCUAUAAAUAUGAAAAAAAAAUCCGAAUAUUGCAAAUGAGGACAGAAUUUCUGGAACUCCAGAAAUUUCUCCCCAUUUCUCUCCCGAGCCCAGCCGCGACCCCCUCCCUUCGUCACCUUCGUUCUUCCUCAUCCGGCCACCGAUUGAUGUGAAACAAAGUGGGUUUUUCUAGUCUCGACCCCCUUUACGAGUUUGUAGAAGAAAUCGAAGUGAAAUACGAGCUGUAUGAGGCUCUACAAGGUCGAGAAGAGAGCCUCGUCGGAGACGAAAUCGCUCUUCCCCACUUUUUCUGGGCUCUACUUUUUCUGGCCAUAUCUUCCUCUACAGGCCUCCGAUCGACCUGAUUCCAAAAGCAAUUUUUCUCACCGUGAAGUUUUCUACAACUUUCCAGAAGACAUCGACUUGAGAUAACCAUCGUGGUGGCCGCUAGAAGACCGAGAAGCCGCACAGCCGAGCUGGAAAUCGUCUUCCUUCGCCACCUUGGUUCUCCCAGCUCCGGCCACUAUAGCUCGAGUUCUUUGAGGGCUUUUCUAGCCCAGAGGAAGUAGAAGCUAUCCCCAAGAAGGCUUGCAGUGAUUUGAUCCGGGGUGAUCGAAUUUUGAAGAUUGGGAAACUAGGGUUCUUCGGGUUUCAAAACUUGCGAGGUGAUUGACGGUCUUCCUUGGGUGAGCGAUUUCGGUGUGUAUUGUGUUGAAUUGAAGACGCAGCGGGAAUAUCGAGCGGGUAAUCCUGCAGGUCAGGAGAAUCAGGACGGUGAUCGUGCGGGUUAGAGAAUUUGUUUUAGUUUUACAGCAAUUGUAAUUGUGAGGUGAGUUAUGCUCAUUUGAGCCUUACAAUAUAAUUUGGUGAGAGUGUGCUGUAAUAAACAAAUUUGAGAUUUGGUUUAUGUAAUAUCGAGCGAUGUGAGGUGUGGUUGUUUUGAGAAAAAAAUUCAGGUUGUAUUUAUGUGAGUUGUAUUAAUUCAUGUUUCGGAUUUUGAAUUGAUUAUUCAAAAUUCGG